AACGUAGGAGACAAACGUUAUCCGGAGUUACUGGGCGUAAAGGGCGUGUAGGCGGUUUGUUAAGUCUGGCGUGAAAGCUCUCGGCUAAACCGGGAGAGGUCGUUGGAUACUGGCAAACUAGAGGACGGUAGAGGCGUGUGGAAUUCCGGGUGUAGUGGUGAAAUGCGUAGAGAUCCGGAGGAACACCAGUGGCGAAGGCGACACGCUGGGCCGUACCUGACGCUAAAGCGCGACAGCAUGGGGAGCAAGCGGG
rnacentral:rRNA from 1 species